UACAGAGGUCCCAAGCGUUGUUCGGAUUCACUGGGCGUAAAGGGUGCGUAGGUGGUGAGGUAAGUCGGAUGUGAAAGCUCGGAGCUCAACUCCGAAAUGGCAUUGGAAACUACCUCGCUAGAGGAUCGGAGGGGAGACUGGAAUUCUCGGUGUAGCAGUGGAAUGCGUAGAUAUCGAGAGGAACACCAGUGGCGAAGGCGAGUCUCUGGACGAUUCCUGACGCUGAGGCACGAAAGCCAGGGGAGCAAACGGG
rnacentral:rRNA from 1 species